rnacentral:misc_RNA from 1 species
GAUGAAGAACGUAGCGAAAUGCGAUACUUGGUGUGAAUUGCAGAAUCCCGUGAACCAUCGAGUCUUUGAACGCAAGUUGCGCCCGAAGCCAUCAGGUUGAGGGCACGUCUGCCUGGGCGUCACAUAUCGUUGCCCAAUGCCUAUUGCAGUGCAAUAGGAAUUUCUAGGGCGAAUGAUGGCUUCCCGUGAGCGUUGUUGCCUCGCGGUUGGUUGAAAAUCGAGUCCUUGGUAGGGUGUGCCGUGGUAGAUGGUGGUCGAGUUAGAACGAUACCGAUCAUGUGCAUGCUCCCCAAAAUAUGGCCUCUAUGACCCACACGCGUCUUUUGACGCUCAUGACGAGACCUCAGGUCAGGCGGGGCUACCCGCUGAAUUUAAGCAUAUCAAUAAGCGGAGGA